CGUAGGGUGCGAGCGUUAAUCGGAAUUACUGGGCGUAGAGCGUGCGCAGGCGGUUUUGUAAGACAGAUGUGAAAUCCCCGGGCUCAACCUGGGACCUGCAUUUGUGACUGCAAGGCUAGAGUACGGUAGAGGGGGAUGGAAUUCCGCGUGUAGCAGUGAAAUGCGUAGAUAUGCGGAGGAACACCGAUGGCGAAGGCAAUCCCCUGGACCUGUACUGACGCUCAUGCACGAAAGCGUGGGGAGCAAACAGGAUUAGAUACCCUGGUAGUCCACGCCCUAAACGAUGUCAACUGGUUGUUGGGUCUUUACUGACUCAGUAACGAAGCUAACGCGUGAAGUUGACCGCCUGGGGAGUACGGCCGCAAGGUUG
rnacentral:rRNA from 1 species